GAGUUUGAUCCUGGCUCAGAACGAACGCUGGCGGCAUGCCUAACACAUGCAAGUCGAACGGGAUCCAUCCUUCGGGAUGGUGAGAGUGGCGGACGGGUGAGUAACGCGUGGGAACCUGCCCAGUGGUGGGGGAUAACUGCGGGAAACUGCAGCUAAUACCGCAUGAGCCCGAAAGGGGAAAGAUUGAUCGCCAUUGGAGGGGCCCGCGUUCGAUUAGGUAGUUGGUGGGGUAAUGGCCUACCAAGCCUGCGAUCGAUAGCUGGUCUGAGAGGAUGAUCAGCCACACUGGGACUGAGAUACGGCCCAGACUCCUACGGGAGGCAGCAGUGGGGAAUAUUGGACAAUGGGGGCAACCCUGAUCCAGCAAUGCCGCGUGAGUGAUGAAGGCCUUCGGUUGUAAG
rnacentral:rRNA from 1 species